UGUAUAUAAAACCAGCAUAGGCUGGAGACACUGAAGCAGAAUGUUUAGAAGGCCGAUGUUUUAAAUUUGGUUAAGGACGGAAGCUGUUGAAAACAACCAUGUCUGGAAAGCAGCCAUGUUUUAAGGGCUUCGCUCAACAAGCUGAAGGGACCGUGCAGGAUGCUGUAAACAAGGUGGGACAGGCCACGCAGCAAGUUGUGGACCAAGCUACCCAGGCGGGUCAGAAAGCUGUGGACCAAGUGUACAAGGCAGCUCAAGGUGGUGUGACCGACCUCGAGAAAAAGAUUGGACUCAAGAAAUGAUGGCCAUCGUGAUAUUGAAAUCAGACCAAAGAAUGUUUGGCACCCUCAGAUUCACACUUCCCUCUUCCAUUCUGUCGUAAUCCUUAUCCUUGUGGAAAACAAGAAACAUAUUCCCUCCA